rnacentral:tRNA from 1 species
UCCCUGCUGGCUCAGACAGUAAAGAAUCUGCCUGCAAUGCAGAGACCCAGGUUUGAUCCCUGGGUCGGGAA